CACACAGAUUCUUCUCUCCACUCUGAACAGUUAGACCCAAGCCUAGAGGGAGAGACAGAUAAUGAACAGACUGGUGCCUAGAAGGGGAAGGAAAGGAAUCAUUGUGUGGGGUGACUACCAGGUGCAUAGUCCUUUAGAACUGCUUAUAUUCCCUCUGAAGCUGAUGGCAACACUCCCAUAAUUUCAACUGUAGCAGGCCCACAGUUUUUGCCAGACCACAAUUUGCUGUGUUCAAUAAAGUCCUCACAUUUGGAAUUGAAGAAGGUGGUCCCCAAAUGAGUCAUCCAAAAACUGGCCAUUCUCCUUACACACAAGCUGCAGGAGCAAGAAAAAGAAAUGGCCUGCAAUUAAUUUUCUGUCAUCUUCUUAGAAUUAAGUUCCAGUCCCAUGCAAUGGAAUCCUUGCAUUUACUGCAGCCUGACUGAAGAUUAUACAAACAUAUUGGCAAUGUUUGGGACUCUCAGCUCACUUACAAUAGUUUUCACCAGUGCAGCUCUGUGGAAUUUAGCAGUCCCUGGUACUUUUGAGAACCGUGUAAAGUAGAGGCAAUGAAGAUUAGAUAACUUAUUUUAAUCCAGGCUGUUCUUGUCUGAACUAAGGAAAAAUUCCUAUUCAGCACCAUAAUAUGUUAAACCUUUUAGAUAACAAGAGGCAUUUUACUAGUAUAAGCAAAUUCUCUUACAAGGUGAAACAC